UACGGGGGGGGGGCAAGCGUUGUUCGGAAUUACUGGGCGUAAAGGGCUCGUAGGUGGCCAACUAAGUCGGACGUGAAAUCCCUCGGCUUAACCGGGGAACUGCGUCCGAUACUGGUUGGCUUGAGUUUGGGAGAGGGAUGCGGAAUUCCAGGUGUAGCGGUGAAAUGCGCAGAUAUCAGGAGGAACACCGGUGGCGAAGGCGGGGUCUCUGGGCAACAACUGACGCUGGAGGAGCGAAAGCGUGGGGAGCGAACAGG
rnacentral:rRNA from 1 species